rnacentral:rRNA from 1 species
ANAGUUUGAUGCUGGCUCAGAAUGAACGUUGGCGGCGUGGAUUAGGCAUGCAAGUCGCGCGAGAAACCAAUUAGCUUGCUAAGAGGUGGACAGCGGCGAAAGGGAGAGUAACGCGUGGUUACGUACCCUCGAGACCGGGAUAGUGUCGGGAAACUGGCAGUAAUACCGGAUAACAUCUUCGGAUCAAAUGGUGUGAUUCCGCUCGAGGAUCGGACCGCGUACUAUUAGCUUGUUGGCGGGGUAACGGCCCACCAAGGCUGCGAUGGUUACCGGGUGUGAGAGCAUGGCCCGGCUCACUGGGACUGAGACACUGCCCAGACAUCUACGGAUGGCUGCAGUCGAGAAUCUUCGGCAAUGGACGAAAGUCUGACCGAGCGACGCCGCGUGCGGGAUGAAGGCCCUCGGGUUGUAAACCGCUGUCAGUUAGGAGGAAAUCCAUGAGGGUUCUCUCUCAUGGUUGACCGAUUUUCAGAGGAAGGACGGGCUAAGUUCGUGCCAGCAGCCGCGGUAAGACGAACCGUCCGAACGUUAUUCGGUAUCACUGGGCUUAAAGCGUGCGUAGGCGGCUUGGUAGGUGAGAUGUGAAAGCCCACGGCUCAACCGUGGAAUUGCGUUUCAAACCCCCAAGCUCGAGGAAGAUAGGGGUGAUGGGAACUUAUGGUGGAGCGGUGAAAUGCGUUGAUAUCAUAGGGAACACCGGUGGCGAAAGCGCAUCACUGGAUCUUUUCUGACGCUGAGGCACGAAAGCUAGGGUAGCGAACGGGAUUAGAUACCCCGGUAGUCCUAGCCGUAAAC